rnacentral:rRNA from 1 species
GAUCCUGGCUCAGGACGAACGCUGGCGGCGUGCCUAAUACAUGCAAGUAGAACGCUGAAGGAGGAGCUUGCUCUUUCCGGAUGAGUUGCGAACGGGUGAGUAACGCGUAGGUAACCUGCCUGGUAGCGGGGGGAUAACUAUUGGAAACGAUAGCUAAUACCGCAUAACAGUAGAUGUCGCAUGACAUUUGCUUAAAAGGUGCAAUUGCAUCACUACCAGAUGGACCUGCGUUGUA